GAUGAACGCUGGCGGCGUGCCUAAUACAUGCAAGUCGAGCGAACAGACGAGGAGCUUGCUCCUCUGACGUUAGCGGCGGACGGGUGAGUAACACGUGGAUAACCUACCUAUAAGACUGGGAUAACUUCGGGAAACCGGAGCUAAUACCGGAUAAUAUAUUGAACCGCAUGGUUCAAUAGUGAAAGACGGUUUUGCUGUCACUUAUAGACGGAUCCGCGCCGCAUUAGCUAGUUGGUAAGGUAACGGCUUACCAAGGCAACGAUGCGUAGCCGACCUGAGAGGGUGAUCGGCCACACUGGAACUGAGACACGGUCCAGACUCCUACGGGAGGCAGCAGUAGGGAAUCUUCCGCAAUGGGCGAAAGCCUGACGGAGCAACGCCGCGUGAAUGAUGAAGGUCUUCGGAUCGUAAAACUCUGUUAUUAGGGAAGAACAAAUGUGUAAGUAACUAUGCACGUCUUGACGGUACCUAAUCAGAAAGCCACGGCUAACUACGUG
rnacentral:rRNA from 1 species